AGAGUUUGAUCCUGGCUCAGGACGAACGCUGGCGGCGUGCCUAACACAUGCAAGUCGAACGGAACUGUUUUGAAAGAUUUCUUCGGAAUGAAUUUGAUUUAGUUUAGUGGCGGACGGGUGAGUAACGCGUGAGGAACCUGCCUUUCAGAGGGGGACAACAGUUGGAAACGACUGCUAAUACCGCAUAAGCCCACGGCUCGGCAUCGAGCAGAGGGAAAAGGAGCAAUCCGCUUUGAGAUGGCCUCGCGUCCGAUUAGCUAGUUGGUGAGGUAACGGCCCACCAAGGCGACGAUCCAUAGCCGGCCUGAGAGGGUGAACGGCCACAUUGGGACUGAGACACGGCCCAGACUCCUACGGGAGGCAGCAGUGGGGAAUAUUGCACAAUGGGGGAAACCCUGAUGCAGCGACGCCGCGUGGAGGAAGAAGGUCUUCGGAUUGUAAACUCCUGUUGUUGAGGAAGAUAAUGACGGUACCCAACAAGGAAGUGACGGCUAACUACGUGCCAGCAGCCGCGGUAAAACGUAGGUCACAAGCGUUGUCCGGAAUUACUGGGUGUAAAGGGAGCGCAGGCGGGAAGACAAGUUGGAAGUGAAAUCUAUGGGCUCAACCCAUAAACUGCUUUCAAAACUGUUUUUCUUGAGUAGUGCAGAGGUAGGCGGAAUUCCCGGUGUAGCGGUGGAAUGCGUAGAUAUCGGGAGGAACACCAGUGGCGAAGGCGGCCUACUGGGCACCAACUGACGCUGAGGCUCGAAAGUGUGGGUAGCAAACAGGAUUAGAUACCCUGGUAGUCCACACCGUAAACGAUGAUUACUAGGUGUUGGAGGAUUGACCCCUUCAGUGCCGCAGUUAACACAAUAAGUAAUCCACCUGGGGAGUACGACCGCAAGGUUGAAACUCAAAGGAAUUGACGGGGGCCCGCACAAGCAGUGGAGUAUGUGGUUUAAUUCGAAGCAACGCGAAGAACCUUACCAGGUCUUGACAUCCAACUAACGAAGUAGAGAUACAUUAGGUGCCCUUCGGGGAAAGUUGAGACAGGUGGUGCAUGGUUGUCGUCAGCUCGUGUCGUGAGAUGUUGGGUUAAGUCCCGCAACGAGCGCAACCCCUAUCCUCAGUAGCCAGCAUUUAAGGUGGGCACUCUGGGGAGACUGCCAGGGAUAACCUGGAGGAAGGCGGGGAUGACGUCAAAUCAUCAUGCCCCUUAUGAUUUGGGCUACACACGUGCUACAAUGGCGUAAACAAAGGGAAGCGAGAUUGUGAGAUGGAGCAAAUCCCAAAAAUAACGUCCCAGUUCGGACUGUAGUCUGCAACCCGACUACACGAAGCUGGAAUCGCUAGUAAUCGCAGAUCAGAAUGCUGCGGUGAAUACGUUCCCGGGUCUUGUACACACCGCCCGUCACACCAUGGGAGUUGGAAAUGCCCGAAGUCAGUGACCCAACCGCAAGGAGGGAGCUGCCGAAGGCAGGUUCGAUAACUGGGGUGAAGUCGUAACAAGGUAGCCGUAUCGGAAGGUGCGGCUG
rnacentral:rRNA from 1 species